AACGAACGCUGGCGGCGUGCCUAACACAUGCAAGUCGUGCGAGAAAGUUCCUUCGGGAGCGAGUAAAGCGGCGCACGGGUGAGUAACACGUAGGUAACCUGCCCCCCAGUCUGGAACAACUAGAGGAAACUCUAGCUAAUGCCGGAUGAGACCACGAUCCCUUCGGGGGUUGCGGCCAAAGAUGGCCUCUACUUGUAAGCUAUCGCUGAGGGAUGGGCCUGCGGGCCAUUAGCUUGUUGGUGAGGUAACGGCUCACCAAGGCUGUGAUGGCUAGCUGGUCUGAGAGGAUGACAGCCACACUGGGACUGAGACACGGCCCAGACUCCUACGGGAGGCAGCAGUGGGGAAUAUUGCGCAAUGGGCGAAAGCCUGACGCAGCGACGCCGCGUGGGUGAUGAAGGCCUC
rnacentral:rRNA from 1 species